GACGAACGCUGGCGGCGUGCUUAACACAUGCAAGUCGAACGGAAAGGCCCUGCGUUUGUGGGGUGCUCGAGUGGCGAACGGGUGAGUAACACGUGAGUAACCUGCCCUUGACUUUGGGAUAUCUUCCGGAAACUGGGGCUCAUACCGGAUAGGAGAUCCUGCUGCAUGGGGGGGGUGGGAAAGUGUCGGCGGAUGGGGCUGGACUCGCGGCUUAUCAGCUUGUUGGUGGGGUAGUGGCUUACCACGGCUUUGACGGGUAGCCGGCCUGAGAGGGUGACCGGCCACAUUGGGACUGAGAUGCGGCCCAGACUCCUACGGGAGGCAGCAGUGGGAAAUAUUGCACGAUGGGCGGAGGCCUGAUGCAGCAACGCCGCGUGCGGGAUGACGGCCUUCGGGUUGGAAACCGCUUUCGCCUGUGACGAAGCGUGAGUGACGGUAAUGGGUAAAGAAGCACCGGCUAACUACGUG
rnacentral:rRNA from 1 species